UACGUAGGGGGCAAGCGUUGUCCGGAAUCAUUGGGCGUAAAGCGCGUGUAGGCGGCCAGAAAAGUCCGCUGUGAAAACUCGAGGCUCAACUUCGAGCUGUCGGUGGAAACUUUCUGGCUAGAGUCCGGAAGAGGAGAAUGGAAUUCCUGGUGUAGCGGUGAAAUGCGCAGAUAUCAGGAAGAACACCCGUGGCGAAGGCGGUUCUCUGGGACGCUACUGACGCUGAGACGCGAAAGCGUGGGGAGCGAACAGG
rnacentral:rRNA from 1 species